GAUGAACGCUGGCGGCGUGCCUAAUACAUGCAAGUCGAGCGAACAGACGAGGAGCUUGCUCCUCUGACGUUAGCGGCGGACGGAUGAGUAACACGUGGAUAACCUACCUAUAAGACUGGGAUACUUCGGGAAACCGGAGCUAAUACCGGAUAAUAUAUUGAACCGCAUGGUUCAAUAGUGAAAGACGGUUUUGCUGUCACUUAUAGAUGGAUCCGCGCCGCAUUAGCUAGUUGGUAAGGUAACGGCUUACCAAGGCAACGAUGCGUAGCCGACCUGAGAGGGUGAUCGGCCACACUGGAACUGAGACACGGUCCAGACUCCUACGGGAGGCAGCAGUAGGGAAUCUUCCGCAAUGGGCGAAAGCUUGACGGAGCAACGCCGCGUGAGUGAUGAAGGUCUUCGGAUCGUAAAACUCUGUUAUUAGGGAAGAACAAAUGUGUAAGUAACUAUGCACGUCUUGACGGUACCUAAUCAGAAAGCCACGGCUAACUACGUG
rnacentral:rRNA from 1 species